GCGGGAUGUUCAAACGCUCGUAACGGCCGCUACGAUCACCUUAGCGCUAAAUUUGUCGUAAUCCGCGCGUAACUCGCCUAAGGUAUAUGUUGGAAAGAUCUUGGAGUCGUCGCUACGAUUUUCGGACCGCCAUAUUUGCUUGUAGCGCUAAGUGUCUCGAAGAGCACCCUUACAGUGAUCGUAGGGUGGUUUGUUUACCUCCCGUGGAAUUCUGUACCCACGUUGCCUUGUCAGAGAUGGAGUUACAAGUUGUAUUGCAACAUGAUGUUGCAGUAAACAGGGCCUGGAGACGUGAAAGAAGAUUUAGAGACCGAACAGAUCCAUUUGCUUUUAGUGAUGAACACUUGCUGAGAUAUUACAGACUCCCGAGACAGGAGCUUCUUCAUUGGUGCCAGAAGCUAGAACCAAAAGUUGGCCGAGCAACAAGAAAAUCCCAUGCAGUGCCAUGUCAUUUACAGGUGUUGAUGACAUUUAGGUUUUAUGCCAGUGGGUCAUUCCAAAGUGUGUUGGCAGACACAUGGAUUAACACAAGGAUGUGUCAGCAGAGUCAUCAACAGAGUGACAGAUGUGCUGUAUACGGCGUCACUUAGAGAAACACGGAUGCCAAGAGGACUAGAGGAAGCCAGGGUAACAAAGGAAAUUAUAUGGAAUUGCCAAUUUUCCAAAUGUGAUUGGCAUCAUCGAUGGAACACACAUCCCGAUUGCUGCCCCACCAGUUGAUGAAGAACUCUACAUUAAUAGAAAGAAUUUCCAUUCACUGAACAUACAAGUUGUGUGUAAUGCAGACUACAUUUUUCAAGACUAUUGCUGCCGUUUCCCUGGAAGCACACGAUUCAUUUGUAUGGGAGAACAGCAUCCUCAACAGGAGAUUCCAGCGGGGUGAAUUUGGAGAUGCCUUUCUUCUUGCCCAGGCAGGAAAACUCCUACCCACUCUUCCACUCCUGGAUGAAGUAGUAGUCAACCCUGAUGACAUAGAUGGACCUGUGUUUGUUCCUGCACCAGCUGGUGGUGGAGGACGGGAUGCAAGGGCAAUAGCUGGGAAUGCAAUGAGAAGGCAAAUCAUUGCACAACACUUCUCAUAGUCUGAAAAGGGGGGAUAUAGUUGUGUAAAGUAAGUUUCUAUCAAUAGUUAGUUUUAAUGUGUUGAGCUGUGCUGGUUGUUCCACUGUUGAUGGUGCUUACGAUGUUCAUCAUUCUUGGGACAUAGGAUACCUUCUACAAAUAAGGUAAUGUUAAGAAUAUACAUGAUAGGUUGUUUAUUGCAGUUUACACUGCAUAUAUGAUUAAUUUUGUAAGUACAAAAGUAAAAAAAAUAGGUUCUCCAUUAUAACUAACUGUAUAAUAUCACAUUAUUCAUUUGGUAUGUAUCGUAAUAGGUAACUAUAAUAUCACAUUAUUAAUUUGGUAUGUACUAUCAGAUAGACUAAUUACACAAAUUGUAAUGCACAGCCAGUUAAAAAAAUGUUUACCUGAUUUCUUGACCCACUGCAAUAUUCAACUGUUACUUGUACUUGAGUCACCACUCUAACCCAUUCUUGCAGCAACAUAUUGGCCAUAUAUUUAGUAGCUUUUCUUAAAUACAGCUUCAGUUUCUUGUCCUAGUGGUGUAUUUAGCUCACCAUUACCUUUCCUGUAGUAUUCCUUGUGUCUUAUAUGAAUGUGUAAAUAUUUAUAUUCCCAUGUAGUAACUCCAGGAUUGGAACCCGCACAAUGUGUGUGUGUGUAUACACACAUUGUGUGGGUUCCAGUCGUCGAGUCACUGUAUGGAAAUAUAAAUAUUUACACAUUGAUAUAAGACACAAGGAAUACUACAGGAAAGGUAAUGGUGAGCUAAAUACACCACUAGGACAAAAAACUGAAGCAGUAUUUAAGAAAAGCUACUAAAUAUUAUAAACAAUAGGUAAUUGUUCACCUUCAAAAUAAAUUUACAUCUUUGUCAAAAUAUUAACUGAAAUGUUUGAGGAAAUGCAAAUGUACACUAAAAUUAUUUCAUAAUUAAUAAAUGGUAUUUGGAGGCUAAGUCUGCAUUACAUUCAAACUUUUAGUGCAAAAAGAAUUCAUCAUUAAUAAAUAGGCUACUCCGUAAAAAUAAAUAAAUAUGUCAUUGUACAAAAUAAGAAAAUAAAUGGCACUGUGAAAACAGGUUA